rnacentral:lncRNA from 1 species
UUGAGGUAGUCCAUGAUCAUGUCCAUCUAGUUGGGCUUGAGCUUGGCUUGCAACAUAUAAAUUGGUUCUCCUCAAUGCUCGGGUGAUCGAACACGUCAAGGUAGGUGGCUUGAUGGAGGUCGGAGUAGUCUGAGGUAGCCAACAUCGACAACGGUUAGCCCAUGCAUUUUCUAACCUUGGGAUUUGCAAAAUCUCAACCGCUUUGAAGGCCGAGGAGGCUUCUCGAACUUUCUGCAAGUAUCUUUCCAUAAUCAAAGACCUUGCUCAAAAAUCUCUUCAAACCUAUCCCACUACUAGUCGGUAAUCAGUGAAGACCUUCAAGUGUUGGACCCGAGGUUGAUAACAUAUGUCAAAUUCAGUGAGCAUCACCACCCAUUUAGCCAACCUCCCUGAUGAACCCAUCUGCUGUAGGAUUUGUCUCAGCAGUUGGUCGGACAGGACGAUGAGUGGAUGAGCUUGAAAAUAUGGGCAAAGCUUCGUUGUUGAGAUGACAAGUGCAUACGCUACUUUCUCCAAUUAGGGAUAUUGAGUCUCCAUGUCUCGAAGGACUUGGCUCUUAUAAUAUCUAGGAUUCUAAACACCGGCCU